GUCUUAUUGAUUAUAAUUUUAAGUCUAAUCUGCCCAAUGAGUAAUUAAAUGGCUGCAGUAUUUUAACUGUACAAAGGUAGCAUAAUAAUUAGUUUCUUAAUUAGGAACUGGAAUGAAUGAUUGGACGAAAUAGUGACUGUCUUAGUUUAAAUUUUAGAAUUUUAUUUUUGAGUUAAAAAGCUUAAAUUUUUUUAAAAGACGAGAAGACCCUAUAGAAUUUUAUAUUAUUUGAAUAUUUUGUUAUUGGGAUUUUAAUAUAGAAUUUUUUAAUUAGUAUUUAGUUGGGGUGAUUGAAAAAUUUAAUAAACUUUUUUUUAUUGUUAACAUUAAUAUAUGAGUGUAUGAUCCAGUUUUUCUGAUUAUAAGAUUAAAUUACCUUAGGGAUAACAGCGUAAUUUUUUUAGAGAGUUCUAAUCGAUAAAAGAGAUUGCGACCUCGAUGUUGGAUUAAAGUUUAUUUUUAAUGCAGGAGUUAAAAUAUUAGGUCUGUUCGACCUUUAAAACUUUACAUGAUCUGAGUUUAAACCGGUGUGAGCCAGGUUGGAUUCUAUCUUUAAUUAAAUUAAAUAUUUUAGUACGAAAGGACCAAGUAUUUAUUAUAAUAGUUUUAUUAGAAUAUCAUUAUUAUUUUGGCAGAUUAGUGCUUUAAAUUUAGAAUUUAAUUAUGUGGAAAUACACAAAUAAUAC
rnacentral:misc_RNA from 1 species